AUAAAUAUAGGGAUUGGGAAUUCAAUGUAAUGGUUUUUAGAAGAUAACAACAUCUUAAUCCCAUAACAAUUCAGACCUUUUUUUUUUGGCAUGAAAGGAAGACCAAAAAUUGCAGGGAUGGCAGGUCUUGCACCCCUAACCUGCCCUCCUCCCUUGUAGAACUGUAGUAUGAAGCCCAAGAUUGCCAACAAGAAUUGAAGCAAGACAACAGAAUUUUACUGAAAAUUUUUGAUAUUCAGAGAAUAUUGCAGAGAUUUGAAACAAAAAUCAAACAGAAAUUCACUAACCAAACAGAAAAGCUUCAAUGUUAUCUCAUGAUAAAUUUAGCUGGAGAAAAAAAAAUUGCAAAGGGAAGUAGAGCAAAGUUCAAGAUUUUCAAGAAAUAAAACAAUCCAUCAGCUAGAUACAAAAGAGCUAUUAAAAGGUACAAGGAAAGAAACUGUUACAUUGAAACAGCAGUUCAAGAAUGAUGUUGCUUGGCUUGUUUUUUCUUCAGCAUAGAGCUCCUGCUGAAGGUGUUGCUUCCAGGAAAGCAGAUGUUACAUCUAGGAAUUCAACAACUUUGCCUAGGAAGAGCCUGGUCAGGCAGAUUAGAAGAGCAGCACAGUAGAAGUCCUGCUCUGCCUAGUGAUACAGCUCCCUACCUCUUCCUGUUAAGUUUGGGACAUCACUGUUGAAGAUUUACAGACCUGCUCAAAGGCAUGGAUUGUCCAUGAUCAGCAACAGUACCAACAUGAGAAUAACCAGGCUUCCUGAUAUGAAAGUACUUCUGUUUAGCAUUCAGCAUACCUUAAAAACAGAAUGCUUUUCCUGACAUUUCUCUGCUCCCUCCCCACCCUCUUCUGCCUUGAUCAAGAAUAAAAAUCUAUAUUGAAAAGAUACAAGGAUACCUUGGAUUUUGUCAUUUCUUUUUGACAAAUCAAGGGGUGGCAAUUAGAAUGGAAGGGAGAUGGUGAUUGAAUUUAUAGGUAUUAUAGUUAUAGCUAUAUUUAAAUAGAUUAUACUAUUCUAUAUAUAGAUAUGUAUAUAGACAGCUGAAUUCCAGUGUUUAGGAUCCAAUUUGUAACAUGUAUUGGAGCCCAAUACAUAUUACAAAUUCACAGGUGUAUUAUGGAGCCAUGAACAAAGGGAAUGCUAGACAGUCCCCUUUCCAAUCUUCCUUCCUCAAUCUUUCCUUCUUUUUCACAUUUUUGCCUUGCAUCUCCUUUCCAAAAGGCUUGUAGGUUCCAAUUUCCCUUCUGUUAGAAAGGAAAGCACAGUAGGAAGUCUUUAGGAGAAAGGUAUUUGAUUACAUACCUAUUAGAGGUCAUACUUCUAUGAAUGUACCUUGGCUCACAGAAGAUAUCUUUUGAUUUUCAAGAUAGCCUGUGAUAGUAGAGAUUCUACACUUACAAACUAGCCAUUCUUUAUGACUUCUAAACUGAAGAAUUAUAUGAAUAAUGUGAUUAUUCCUCUAAACUCAGUUACUGACUGCUGGAGAUUUUUGUAGAUAUUAUUCCUUUGUUCUUGAAGAGGGUCAAUAAUAUCACAUGGGUGAUAUUUUGACUUGAAUGUGAACUGGAUUUAAGUGAGGUAGAGCUGUACCAAAUCAUCAAGCCUCAUUCUUUUAAGGACUAAAGAAAUGACUAUAGUUAUGGAGUUAAACAAAAUCCCUUUGCAUUUCUCCUUUCUACUUUGAAUCAAGAAACCCUAGCUCUAACAAUUGGACAAAAGUUUACCUGCUACCUUUUGUGCCUGCAAAACACAAAGGAUGUGCUUUUCAAAUCUGUUUUCUAGCUAAUCUUCCUAUCUAGCAAGGUUUGUUUGAUUAAUUACUAUUUUAGAUUGACAAAUCCUGGAGAGUAUAUACUAUAUUCAUAGGAACAUAUUUUGAUGCCUCCUCAUCUCUAAGUGCUUCUAGGAACCAUCAUCAUUUAUUUAAUAUUUACCAAAUGCCUACUAUGCACAAGAUCCAAAUUCUGAAAAUGAUUCUUCUACAUGCAAAAAAAAAAAAAAAAAAAAAGACAUGCUGGCAGGAAAGGACCCAUAUUUCAAGGUUAACCUACCUGUAAAGGUGGAGAAAAUCUGGAAAAUAGCUCUCAUUUCCCAUCCUUCCAUUUGGUAGAAAAGGAUAAAAGUUAAAAAUGAUUCAUUUGUACUCUGGCUGGUAUUCCUUAUUCUGUACAAUUUUUCCAUGGAAAAGUUGGCCUGAAACUGGCUUAUAACAUUUCCUCACAUAAUACAGUAUACUUUAGAAAGGUUCAUUUAGCACACAUGCAUUGCUUCCUGUGACUUCAGUUUUCUUAAUCUAGUGUUUCAAGAUGUAUUUCACUUAAAACACCCACACCGACACCCACACCCACACACAGACAUGUACCAAUAAAACAAACAAAUAAAUCCACAUGGCUAAUCACAAUACCUCCCUAACAUAACAGCUUAAAAUUACAGAAACCCAAGGUGGAAAAUUGUGUGUGUGUGUGUGUGUAUAUGGAUAAAGUUGACU